GCUGCCAUACUGCGAGCAGGCUGUCCGUGGAAUAAAUCACGAUGCCUAAGCAACUGAAGGAGAUCAAGGAGUUCCUCCUGACGGCGAGGCGGAAAGAUGCCAAGUGUGAG
rnacentral:lncRNA from 1 species